UUUUAAUAAAAUUUUAUAUUAAUUUUUGUAGCCACUGUAAAGGUUAAAUAAACUAUUUAAAAGAAAUUUGAUUUUCCUUUAGUAUCAGGAAUAUUCAAAUCCUAUUUAAAAUUAAUUUUUCCUGAAAAAAGGUCAUCUAUAAAUUUAUUUUAUUAUUGUAUCAAAAAUGCUAUUAAUAAAUUUAUUGAAGUUAGACUCUAUCCGAACCUUUUGAUAUCCGGUUUCUUUUUAUUUUUAAAAAAUAAUUAUAUUUAAAAAGAUAAUUUUUUAAAUUCAUUUUUUAAUCCUUUCUAGUUUAUUAGGAAUAAAAGUUUCCAAAAAGUUUCAUAACCAUAUCUUUACUUAAUUUAAAUUUUUUAUAAAAGAUUACCUUUAUUAAUUAUAAUAAUGAAAAUAUUAGUAGAAUUAUCUUCAUUAUUAACUCAAUAACUAGGCAAAAAAUUGAAUGACUGUUUACCAAAAACAUUUCUUACUGAAUUUAUUGUAAGUAACACCUGCUCAAUGAAUAUUUUAAAUAGCCGCGGAAAUUUAACCGUGCUAAGGUAGCAUAAUCAUUAGCCUCUUAAUUAGAGGCUCGUAUGAACGGUGAAACAUUUCAAUUACUUUUUUACUUAAUAUAUUUGAAUUUAAAUUAAGAAUAAAAAUGUUCUUAUUUAUAAAAUAGACGAUAAGACCCUUUUGAACUUCACUCUAGUUUAGCUGGGGCAGCUAAAAAAUAAUAAUCUUAUUUUUAAUAUUUAAAUAAAUGACCCAAUAAAAUUGAUUACAUGAACAAGUUACCAUAGGGAUAACAGCGUAAUAUCUUUUUAAAGCUCUUAUUAAAAAAGAAGAUUGCGACCUCGAUGUUGAAUUAGUGUAACUUUACUAAUGCAGUAAUUUUAAAAGUAGGUCUGUUCGACCUUUAAAACAUUACAUGAUUUGAGUUCAAAUCGGUGUAAACCAGAUUGGUUUCUAUCUUUUAUUUUUAUUUAUUCAGUACGAAAGGACCAAUAAAUUUAUUUUUAAUA
rnacentral:rRNA from 1 species